GAUGAACGCUGGCGGCGUGCCUAAUACAUGCAAGUCGAGCGGACAGACGAGGAGCUUGCGCCUCUGACGUUAGCGGCGGACGUGUGAGUAACACGUGGAUACCCUACCUAUAAUACUGGGAUAACUUCGGGAAACCGGAGCUAAUACCGGAUAAUCUAUUGAACCGCAUUGUUCAAUAGUGAAAGACGGUUUUGCUGUCACUUAUAGAUGGAUCCGCGCCUUUUUGGAUGGUUGGGAAGUUAACGGCUUACGAAGGGAACGAUGCGUGGGCGACGUGAGAGGGUGAUAGGCGACAUGGGAACGGAGACAGGGUCAAGACUACUACGGGAGGCAGCAGUAGGGAAUGUUCCGCAAUGGGCGAAAGCCUGGCGGAGCAACGCCGCGUGAGUGAUGAAGGUCUUCGGAUCGUAAAACUCUGUUAUUAGGGAAGAACAAAUGUGUAAGUAACUAUGCACGUAUUGACGGUACCUAAUAAGAAAGCCACGGCUAACUACGUG
rnacentral:rRNA from 1 species